CUCAGACCCUGGUGGGAAAGCUGCGCGCCCGGAACCUUUGUAUACUGGCUUUCCCGAACCCGGAGCUCUUGGGUGUUGCACGGCGGCCGGCUUUAGCUGGUUGCCAGGGCGACGCCUGUGAAGAUGGCUGCGGCGCUUUCGUCGGAUUCCGACAGCGGCCGAGCUGAAAGCAAUGAGGCCAGUUCGAAAUGGCUGGAUGCGCACUACGACCCCAAGGCCAACAUCCACACCUUUUCCUCCUGCCUGGCGCUGGCAGAUUUGCAUGGGGACGGGGAGUACAAGCUGGUGGUGGGGGACCUUGGCCCCGGCAGGCAGCAGUCCUGUCUGAAGGUGCUCAAAGGACCCAAGGUGCUGACCGAAAGCCCCCUACCUGCACUACCGGCUGCUGCUGCCACCUUCCUCAUGGAUCAGCACGAGCCCCGGACUCCAGCUCUGGCACUGGCCUCUGGCCCUUGUGUGUAUGUGUAUAAGAAUCUCAGGCCCUACUUCAAGUUCAGCCUGCCCCAUUUGCCUUUAAACCCCCUGGAACAAGAUCUUUGGAACCAGGCCAAGGAGGACCGGAUAGACCCCUUGACCCUGAAGGAGAUGCUGGAGGGCAUCCGGGAGAAGGCAGAGGUGCCUUUGUCUGUACAGUCGCUCAGGUUUCUGCAGCUGGAUCUCAGUGAAAUGGAGGCAUUUGUGAACCAGCACAAGUCCAAGACCCUCAAACGUCAGACAGUCAUUACCGCUAUGACCACCUUAAAGAAGAACCUGGCCGACGAGGAUGCUGUGUCCUGCUUGGUGCUGGGCACUGAGAACAAGGAGCUCCUGGUGCUGGACCCGGAGGCCUUCACCAUUUUGGCCAAGAUGAACCUACCCAGCGUCCCUGUCUUCCUGGAGGUUUCUGGCCAGUUCGACGUAGAGUUCCGGCUCACCGCUGCCUGCCGCAACGGCAACAUCUGUAUCCUGAGAAGGGACUCCAAGUGCCCCAAGUACUGCAUCGAGCUGAGUGCCCAGCCUGUGGGGCUUGUCCGGAUCCACAAGGUCCUGGUGGUGGGCAGCACCCAAGACAGCCUGCAUGGCUUCACCCACAAGGGUAAGAAGCUAUGGACAGUGCAGAUGCCUGCAACCAUCCUGACCAUGAACCUCAUGGAGCAGCGCUCUCGGGGCCUGCAGGCUGUCCUGGCUGGGCUGGCCAAUGGAGAGGUUCGCAUUUACCGUGACAAGGUCCUGCUUGACGUCAUCCGCACCCCGGAUGCAGUGACCAGCCUUUGCUUUGGCCGCUAUGGGCGGGAAGAUAACACCCUCAUCGUGACUACGAGAGGCGGUGGAUUGAUGAUCAAGAUCCUGAAGCGAACAGCAGUGUUUGCAGAUGGGGGAGGUGAGGUGGGCCCCCCACCAGCCCAGGCCACAAAACUCAAUGUACCCCGAAAGACCCGGCUGUAUGUGGAUCAGACACUGCGAGAGCGGGAGGCCGGCAUUGCCAUGCACCGGACCUUCCAAACCGACCUCUACCUGCUGCGCCUCCGGGCCGCCCGUGCCUAUGUGCAGGCUCUGGAGUCCAGCCUGAGCCCCGUGUCUGCCACAGCCCGGGAACCACUCAAGCUGCACGCUGUGGUUCAGGGCCUGGGCCCCACCUUCAAGCUCACGCUGCACCUGCAGAACACCUCGACAGCCCGCCCCAUCCUGGGGCUGCUGGUCUGCUUCCUGUAUGAUGAGCUGCUCUACGCCCUGCCCCGGGCCUUCUUUAAGGUCCCCUUGUUGGUGCCAGGGCUCAGCUACCCCCUGGAGACUUUUGUGGAGAGUCUGAGUGACAAGGGCAUCUCUGAUGUCGUCAAGGUGCUGGUGCUUCGAGAAGGCCAGAGUGCACCCCUGCUGAGUGCCCAUAUCAACAUGCCUGUGAGUGAGGGGCUGGCAGCUGCCUGACCCCCGGGCUUGUAUUAAAGCCCCUUCGGAACCAGGACCAGGAAAAUCCAGCUCCUUCCACUGAGCUGGGCAGGAUCAGUGGCCCAGGCCCACUCCCUGCACAGCAGGGUAUGGGGCAACAGCUUCCCUCUGCUCCCCUAAGCUGCCCUUUUUCACCCUCUCAACUGUGGGGUGACCUACAGCAGCAGGUCAGUGAGUACCCUGGAGGCUCAGCUCCUUUCUUCUCAGGAAGAUGCAAGCAUUGGCUUGCUGGGCUCGUGCCACUCCUCUGCGCUCCUCUGUAUUCCUCUGUGCUCCUCACUUUCCUCCAGAAACCACACCCGGGUCCAGAGGAAGAGCUCUGAAGCAGUCAAGGUGACAUGGGGGGCAGCGGCCCAGCUCUCCCACCGCUCAUUGUUGCUGCUGGCUCAGGCAGGAAGUGGCCAGGGCCUGGCCUGGGACAGUCAGAGGCUUUUCUUGGGUGAGACCGAGCCCCUUGCUGCUCCCCAGGGUUCCAGAGACUUGGCUGCUGCCAGUCCAGCUUGCAAGCAAAACACGUGCUCUGAUCUCUCCUCAUGAGUUGAGCAAGGGGCUCUUUCUCUUCAGGGUCCCCAGGGUAUAGCUGCCUCCCCACACAGGUUUUUUUCUGAAAUAUUGGGCUCAAAGCCUCAGGCCUGCGAUGCCCCACGCAGAGGCCACAGAGUGCCUGCACAGGGAGCUAGUGGCCCCACCCCUGCCCUGGUCCACAGUGGGCAUCCAGGAGAGGAAGGCUCCACUGGACCGAGAGGGUGUUGUCGGGGCCCUCGGGAGGUGGCACAGGAGGCAGAAGCCCAGAACUGCUGAUCAAGAUGCGCUUCUACACCCUGGAGCCCAGAACAACUCGUGUGAGUGGGAAGUUCACUAUAGCAGUGGCUAUAGUGUAAGAGAAUUAGCUGGAAAGGUACAGACCAGAGGCCCAAGUAAGGCAGAAGACCAAGCAAAGGCACGUGUUUAGACCACAAAGGGCCAGAGACCCACAGUCCCAGCCAGUUUGCCCAUUGGUGGUGCCUCAGAGAGCCCUGGUGGGCCACCUGUGAGCCAGCAGCCCUGGUCCCGGAGAACCUCUAGCUUCCCCUCUGACCAGGAAUAACCUAGUGUGUGGCGACAGCUCAGGCUUCUGGCCAGUAACCAAAUCCCUGGGGACUUCAGUCGCCUGUGUAAAAUGAGGCAGUUAGAUUGGAUACAGUUCUAGCGUCCUGUGAGCUUGGCAGCCCCUCCAGGGGAGAUGAGGAGUGGUCUCCAGAAAGGGGGAUGCAGGGAUAACUGCAGAGCUUUUGCCCAGGUGGCCAAGGGCCCAAGGUGACUGCUACUGCAACAACCUCCGUGCCCCAGACACAGUGAGGGCCUGGGGUAACAGCCCACAGCCACCCCUGACCCCUGAGGAAUGCAUUUGGGGGCCAGGUAAAGAAAAGCAAGGUAUCUAGACCAAAACGCAUUUCCCUCCUCUCUGUACAGUCCCCGAUGCACACACGGACCCAUAGGGGCAGGCUGAGCUGGAGCAAGCAGGAGGUUUGACCUGGAAAUGGAAGGGUGGGUAGAAGGAGUGUGUCAGAGAGACUUGGAUUAAUCUGAAGAGCUUUCUGGAGCAGAAAGGGCCUGCCCUGGACAGCAUGAUCUUCUGUUGGAGAUAUGUCACCAGGGCUGGGCUUUCACUGCGCAACGUUGUUAAGCUGAGCCACGCGACCUUACCGUUCCUUUUACCCCAGUUACGUGAUGGACCGUGUGAACUUGGAACUAGACAGUUGGCUCUGGGUCCUCUGUGUAGCUAUCCAUGAGGACAAGCGUGGAGAAACCGCCCCUGUGCCCAGCACCUACCGUGAAUUCAUACGAUGUGAUGCCACGUGCUGUUACCAACAACAGCGAACGCACCGUGUACAGAAAGCAGAUAGGACGCGAGGAGCAGUGCGAGGAACCCAGAGGCCUCGCUAGUCAGGGCUCCACACAGUGGUGCACAUUAAGGAUGAGGAGAGUGGGUGUCCUUUUAAAAAGGUAUCUAAGUCCAUGUACCUACCUAGUACUAUGGGAUAAGGCAGUUUAGAAGAAGAGCCCCGCCCCCCAGCACUGUGCCCCGCCCUAGUCCUUUUCCGGCAUCUUAGCCAUCGUACACUUAGACUAGUCUUGCUUCGUCAGUCUCGGAAGCUACUUGUUGGCUCCGUCAUAACAGAUGAGGCUUUAGCUCCUGUGACAGCACCCUGUCCCUUCCUCGUGUCACCAGUUUUUAGGUAAAUCGACAUUCACAGUUUGUGUUACAAUUUAUAUUACUGUGUGAAAGGUCAUCACUGCAAGCCAAGAAUUGGGCUGUAAUUAGAUUACUUUGAGGGCACUUUUCUGUUUUCAUGGAAUUAAUGACCCUGCUUUUUCCAUUUGCCUACUUCUCUGUGUAUACCAGUUGCUAUUGUUCCUCCGCCUGGUCUGGCAGUUCCUCUUUUUCUGGACACUUGCCCUCACCCCUGCUGUGGGAAGACGGCUCCGGAGCUGCCGCGGGCCCUCUCCUGGGACCCGCAGCGCCCCGGCGUGGGCUAGACCCUGCUUCCUGGCGCCGUGUCUUCCGCCUCCGUGGUUCUGUCACCCGCUCACCUGGUCAGGCCUUUCCACAGGGACCUUCUUCAAAAAGUGCUGGAGUUACCAUGUAAGGCACUGUUUGUCUGGAACUUUAUUCAAUUCAUACAUGUUUGUGGCUGUUGGGGGUCACAAAAUUUGAUGUUGAAAAUCAUUUUCAUGCAAGAAAAUUAUUUUUAAGCAGUGUUCCCUUCCGGUUUUAUUUUUGGUAAAUGCUUGUUGAGCAGCUCUGUGUGAGUUUUGUGCUUGACGUCCACUUUCUCUGAGGCCCCGCAGUGUCAGGACGCGCCUAACUGUGUCAUUAUGUCGUGUGCCGUGGCUGGAGGUGUGUCCUUUGCUUCCGGGAAGGCUCCUCCGUUGCCCUGUUCUGUCUGGAAUUCCGAUUAAGCCCAGCAUCUGAUACAUCCAGAGAGAACAGGACUGAUCCUCUGAUUGUCUUCUCAAAAUUUUUGUCCUGUUUUUUAGAUUUUUAUUUUUCAGCUCGUCUCUGAAAUUGUCUUUACAAUGCUGUUUUAAUUCUCUUUUUGCUCUCUGUUCGGUCUUUAAUUUUGGUGUCUUUUUAAGACACAGUUGAGCCAGCACCAUCAGCUGACAGUAUCCCAUCUGUAGAUGACUUCAAGGACGGCGCAGGAUGUGUUUUCCUGAUGCUCACAUGGAACAUUUACCAAGAAAGACCCCACUUUACUUACAGCUGUGCUGUGUGAUACGCUGGAAACGUAGAGGCUUACACCUUCCUGGCCCACAGUAGGCAACAUGUAUCUGCUGAACUCAGAACUACAAGCUGCCAGGAAACAUUACGCUCAGUGAAAGAAGCCAGACACAGAAGGUCACAUAUCGUGUGAUGCCGUUUAUAUGAAAUAGCCCAAAUAGGCAAAUCCACAGAGGAGCACGGUGGUGGCCAGGGGCUGAGGGGUUUGGGGAGGGAUGCAGAGUGCCCACUUAAUGGGGACCUGUGGGCUGCUGCUUGGGGUGAUGGAAAUGUUCCGGAACUAGCGGUGAUGGUUGUGCAACAUUGUAAAUACAAAA